GUCCUCUUAAAAAGCCUAUUUCUUCUCACUUGCUGUAGCUCACUAGCGUGAAAAGUGAUUUAUGAACAAAUUUCCAUCUUAAAAUUACAUGACAGCUAUUUCUUAUCUAUUAUGUGUACAACACUACCCAUAAUCUUAUCAAUAAAAAAAAAUAUUAACUUAUAAAAUGGUCUUUUGGAUAAAUGUUGAUGUACAUACAAGCAUGACAAGUCAAAU
rnacentral:lncRNA from 1 species